UCAGAAACCUGGUCCCCCGCUUAGCGCCAAAGGCUCUCCAGACUCACACAGGCCGAACAGCAAUCCACCACCUCCCUCCGAAGGCCGGCUCGUCAGUGCUGACCGUUCGCCUUCUGCUCUCCGGUGUCAGAACCUAACCAUCGGCUUUGGUCACCUCUCUCCUUCUCCGCCUGCCUCCACACCGGGCUCUCGGCGUGUCCUCCGGAAGGCACGUGUACAACGGGAAAUGGCGGUGCCCCUGCAGGACCGCACAGUGACGGGAAGAGCACCAUGGUCCAGAGGUCAUGGUUUUGUCAUCUCAUGGAGGGUGCAGCCAGGACACGGACUGUGACAGGUCAGGGGUCAUGUUAUCACUUGUAUAACGAAAUAAGCUCUUAGUUUUGGAAAACUCAUGGUCUACCUUUUAUGGUGCCUCCCCCGGCCUGCAGUUAUCACCCAGUUGGGCGAGGUCCGGAGAGAUCCUGGUAGCCCCAGGUCCCAGAGAUGAUGUCCUACCAAUGAUGUGUCCUAAAGGAAGGCAUCGGUGUCAUCAUUCGAAAAAGAAGGAGCGGAGACCAGAGGAAGAGCGCGUGGGUUCUGGAUGUGCCUGGUUUCCGGGGCAAAGGCUCAGAGAAAAAGGAUCCUUUCUCCGAUUCUGCCUGUUUCCAUCUCCUGCUGCUGAUGGGAGGCCGGGGGGCCCCUCGUGUCCCAGAGGAAAGUUGCUCUGCCCCCAGAGCUGUGACGGCGGGAAGAGAAGGACCCGCUUCCUCCCUGCAUUCCAGCCGGUGACAAUGGCGAACCCACUCUGAGAGGGACGGCUGUUGUGUCCAGCACAAGCCAGAAAGCCUAGUAUCUCGCGCUAUUUGCAAGCCUGCCUCUCGGACACAUCUGGCCGGCUGUUUGUCUUUGUUAGAAGGACCGACUGGUCACUUUGCCAGGGGACUCUCUACCACCCUCUGCCACCAGCAUCUGCACAGAACAGAAGGCUUUGGAGGCUCGGAUGACAAAACAGUGCCUCCGAAGGGACCGAGAAAGAUAGUAGUGUUUCUGUGCGAAGCAACAGAAUGUGUAAGAGAAAGCGCCAACUGAGCCACACCAAUGAGCCAUUGUGAGGUCCUGCUUGAGCAGAAGAGGGAUCUGAGGCCACUAACAAGGGUGGGGGGGGACGCGACACGGCUUCGAGUCCGAGUGCCACCCCCAUCUGCCCCACAGAACACAGCGCCAUUCUGCGGCCUCUGUUGCCUCUUGUGUGCCAGGCCCCGAAUGGGGGCUUCACCGCGUUGUUUACCUUGUUUACGAUUUGUCUCUUUUCUCCUGUGGGAAGCCGUGAGGCACAGGCGUAUGUCUAAUGUACCCACCCCUGUAUACCCUGGGUUUGCCGCCCGGCAGACGCUAAACCAAGAGCCGAAGGAAGGAAGACAGAGAGGAGGAAAGGAGGAGAGAGGGAGGCAGGGAGAGGGAGGGAGGAAUGUGCACCCUUAUCCGGUGACACUGCCUGCACCUCCCGCACCUGACCGGCUGCCAGGCGAAGGACCGGCCGCACGACCGUGCCCACCGCCGCUGCUCGAGGCCUGCCCGGCAGCGAGCGGGGCCAUCAGUAAACGUCUGUUGAGUGGGGUGUGGUCUUCAGCGCUUACUGGAUUAGCAGGAGAUUAGAUUUGAUACUGUAGCAAAAAAAAAA